rnacentral:rRNA from 1 species
GACGAACGCUGGCGGCGUGCUUAACACAUGCAAGUCGAACGCUGAAGCUCAGCUUUUGUUGGGUGGAUGAGUGGCGAACGGGUGAGUAACACGUGAGUAACCUGCCUCCUUCUUUGGGAUAACGCCCGGAAACGGGUGCUAAUACUGGAUAUUCACUGGUCUUCGCAUGGGGGUUGGUGGAAAGGGUUUUUCUGGUGGGGGAUGGGCUCGCGGCCUAUCAGCUUGUUGGUGGGGUGAUGGCCUACCAAGGCUUUGACGGGUAGCCGGCCUGAGAGGGUGACCGGUCACAUUGGGACUGAGAUACGGCCCAGACCCCUACGGGAGGCAGCAGUGGGGAAUAUUGCACAAUGGGCGCAAGCCUGAUGCAGCGACGCCGCGUGAGGGAUGGAGGCCUUCGGGUUGUGAACCUCUUUCGCUCAUGGUCAAGCCGCAACAAUGGUUGUGGUGAGGGUAGUGGGUAAAGAAGCGCCGGCUAACUACGUG